rnacentral:tRNA from 1 species
GAGAUGUGAAAUUAAUCAAGAAGAAGCUGCUAACUUUUAUCUUUAGCGGGUUAGACCGUUAACAUCUCUU